rnacentral:misc_RNA from 1 species
AUCCUGAACCUCUCGUCCCAGCCAAACGUAGGUGGCGGAUGGCUUUCACAGUCAUUUAUUUUUCAAGGUUGCUUCUUUCCUUGUCCAAGAAAGUUUUGUACGAACAAACCAAGCUCUUGCGUUCACUUUCCUAUGUUGCCAUCCAAGUCGAUGAUGAUAACCCCAGUAGGGACCAUGCGUCUUUGGUCAAUAUUGAUCAGAAUACACUCUCUCGGAUGCUAAAAGAGAAGAACCACCACUCCUUGAACCAACUAGGAGGACUUAUGCAGGUUGCUGCAAUUCUUCAGAGCGAUGUGAAGAAAGGUG